CCUCUUGGUUUUGUUUUGCCUCUUUAGCUCUCCUCCUCUUGGUUUUCUUCUGCCUCCAUUUCUCUCCUGUGGGCAGCUUCUCGGGCUUUUUCUGCCUCUUUUGCUGCCUCCAGUCUGGCUAACUUCAAUUUAUCUUGUGUCUUGGUUUCUUUCAUCUUUGCCUCUCUGUUUUUAACUAACUUUACACCCGAGAGUUAGAAAUAAAACAAACAAA